AAGCAAGCUGGCGGCGUGCCUAAUACAUGCAAGUCGCGCGAACGGACGAGAAGCUUGCUUCUCUGAUGUUAGCGGCGGACGGGUGAGUAACACGUGGAUAACCUACCUAUAAGACUGGGAUAACUUCGGGAAACCGGAGCUAAUACCGGAUAAUAUUUUGAACCGCAUGGUUCAAAAGUGAAAGACGGUCUUGCUGUCACUUAUAGAUGGAUCCGCGCUGCAUUAGCUAGUUGGUAAGGUAACGGCUUACCAAGGCAGCGAUGCAUAGCCGACCUGAGAGGGUGAUCGGCCACACUGGAACUGAGACACGGUCCAGACUCCUACGGGAGGCAGCAGUAGGGAAUCUUCCGCAAUGGGCGAAAGCCUGACGGAGCAACGCCGCGUGAGUGAUGAAGGUCUUCGGAUCGUAAAACUCUGUUAUUAGGGAAGAACAUAUGUGUAAGUAACUGUGCACAUCUUGACGGUACCUAAUCAGAAAGCCACGGCUAACUACGUG
rnacentral:rRNA from 1 species